ensembl:lncRNA
AGUGACUCAGCUGUAAAAUCAAAGGAAGAAGAGAAAACUCGCAUUUUCCGAGGACCCAAUAAGAGUCAGAAAGCUGCAGACAAGCUACCAUCAAAAAAGCUAAGUUUGCUGUAUAGUAAGGAUCAGAAGAUCUGAUCCUGAUUGCAGAACAUCGCUGAUUACAGAAUCUUGGGUUGUGUCUCCCACCUCAUCUUUCCCUACCAUCCCAGAAGAUCUAUAAGGUUCCAUCUGGGAAAACACUAGAAGUUCUUGGAAGGGAAAGAAGGAAGAGGAUUACUGGUUGGAAUAAAAACAGGGUUGAAUGAGUUCCAGAAAGCAGGGUUCUCAAACUCGUGGACAACAAUCUGCAGAAGAAGACAACUUCAAAAAACCAACUAGAAGCAAUAUGCAGAGAAGUAAGAUGAGAGGAGCCUCCUCAGGAAAGAAGACCGCUGGUCCACAGCAGAAGAAUCUGGAAGCAGCACUCCCUGGCAGGUGGGGGGGUCGCUCUGCAGAGAACCCCCCUUCGGGGUCUGUGAGGAAGACCAGAAAGAACAAACAGAAGACCCCUGGAAAUGGAGAUGGUGGCAGUACCAGCGAAGCACCUCAGCCACCUCGGAAGAAAAGGGCCCGGGCUGACCCCACUGUGGAAAGUGAGGAGGCAUUUAAGAAUAGAAUGGAAGUGAAAGUGAAGAUUCCUGAAGAAUUAAAACCAUGGCUAGUUGAGGACUGGGACUUAGUUACCAGGCAGAAGCAGCUCUUUCAACUCCCUGCUAAGAAAAAUGUAGAUGCCAUUCUGGAAGAGUACGCAAAUUGCAAGAAAUCGCAGGGAAAUGUUGAUAAUAAGGAGUAUGCGGUUAAUGAAGUUGUGGCAGGAAUAAAAGAGUAUUUCAAUGUGAUGUUGGGCACUCAGCUGCUCUAUAAAUUUGAGAGGCCCCAGUAUGCCGAAAUCCUCUUGGCUCACCCUGAUGCGCCCAUGUCCCAGGUUUAUGGGGCACCACACCUACUGAGAUUAUUUGUGAGAAUUGGAGCAAUGUUGGCAUAUACGCCCCUUGAUGAGAAGAGCCUUGCAUUAUUGUUGGGCUAUCUGCAUGAUUUCCUAAAAUACCUGGCAAAGAAUGCUGCGUCUCUGUUUACUGCCAGUGAUUAUAAAGUGGCUUCUGCUGAGUACCACCGCAAAGCCCUGUGAGGGUCUCCUGACCGCUCGCUGUUAUGUCUGGUAUCUGUAAACACUCUUUUUGUUCUUAGUCUUUUUCUUGUAUAAUUGAUGUUCUUUAAAAUUGUUCAUGUAUAACAGGGCUUAUGUUUCAGUUUGUUUUCUGUUUUGUUCUAAACAGAAAAUAAAAGGAGUGCAAGCUCCUUUUCUCAUUUCAAAGUUGCUACCAGUGUACGCAGUAAUUAGACAAAGAAGAAACAUUCAGUAGAACAUUUUAUUGCCUAGUUGACAACAUUGCUUGAAUGCUGGUGGUUCUAUCCCUUUGACACUACACAAUUUUCUAAUAUGUGUUAAUGCUAUGUGGAAAAAUGCCCUGAUUCCUAGUGCCAAAGGUUCAACUUAAUGUAUAUACCUGAAAACCCAUGCAUUUGUGCUCUUUUUUUUUAUGGUGCUUGAAGUAAAACAGCCCAUCCUCUGCAAGUCCAUCUCUGUUGUUCCUUAGGCAUUCUAUCUUUGCUCAAAUUGUUGAAGGAUGGUGGUUUGUUUCAUGGUUUUUGUAUUUGAGUCUAAUGCACGUUCUAACAUGAUAGAGGCAAUGCAUUAUUGUGUAGCCACGGUUUUCUGGAGAAGUUGAUAUUUUAGGAAUUGUAUUUCAGAUCUUAAAUAAAAUUUGUUUCUAAAUUUCAAAGCAAA